rnacentral:lncRNA from 1 species
GCCAACUGGUCCAGCUUCUCAGGGAUUUUAUUUACUCAGCAUCUGGAAAACCUUGGGCAAAUGCACAGGCCUUCUCAACAGUCUGCUUCACUGAGGUUAAGAGAAGUCAUCGCCUUUUCCUCAGCCUAACAGCCCGCCCACACUGAGCUCUGUCCCGUGCCUCUUCUCACAGACAUGCAGGCAGAACCAGGGCUCUGCUGCUCUGAUGGCACGCUGCUGCUGCUGUGCUGCCAUCUUCCAUGGGCCAUCAUCUGCCAGCCGUGCGGUGUCACUGCCUGCUGACAGGCAUCGGCCCCUUCACAUCCCCUCCUGCACAUUGCUCCUUUGUUUUCCUGCUAAUUCCGAGAAGCAGGUCUGUGCCAUUUCCAGCCCCCGAUCCUCCAGGAACAAAUGCCAAAACUGAAAGCCAAUACUUGGGAAUGUUGUCCUGGAGGUAUCGACAGAAACACUUCCCAUCAUUUCAUUUACCGAGGAAAACACCCUUGAAAACACUCCACUGUGGAACGCCUUCCUUGUCUUGGUCACCUCUGGGACUUCCAGCGUCUUCUUGGGGCGAGACCUUCACCGGGACCCGCCCCACUUCUCACUUGUGACCAAAGCACUCAAAAAGAGUGAAGAAAGCAGAGGAAGUGCCCUCUGCCAUCUGGCGUGAGGGAGCUGCCCAUGCUUCAAAGCCCCGCGCGGACAGGAAGGGCUGUGGGGCGAUGCCGAGUGUGGGGCGAGGAAAUGGCGGGGCCGAUGGGACAUGAAAGCCGCGAGCGUGUCAAAGGCAGGACGGAAGUGUUGUAGAGGGCAGCCCUAUUUUUAGCCGCCUCUUGCGAGCUAGCGCUCGCUGUAGAAGAGCUGCUUCCCCUUUCCUUGAUGUAAGCAGAGCCCCAUUGGCGUUUGGGCCUGUUUUUAUUUGGCCACUCACGCAGUUAUGCUGACUGAAAGGUCCCUUGAGCACCGCUGACUCAAAAACACCCAUGGUCGCAGAGUCCUGAGCAAGGAGAACAGAAAGCAUCUGGCACUUCCCUGUCCCCAUUUCAGGACCGAGAGAGGUAGAACCCAAAGCUGAGGCUGCAGAGCGUGACUCUUAGUCAUAUCAACAGGGGAUUUUGCAAUUGGUGGGUGCGGGGUGCGAGGCAGGCAGUCUGCAAGCAAAUUUGAAGUGCUCUGCAAAGCACUGGAGUGGGGUUCCUCUGCUGCCAGGCCUGCGCAGCACAGUGCGGCCCUCACUCCCUGCUGCCCUGCAGCCUGCCGGGCCGCUCCAUUUGGGCACAGGGUUUAGCACAAGUGAGCAGGCAGCUCACGUGGUGAGCGGUGGGUGGCCAUGGCUGCCCUGUAUCUGCCUCCUGUUCACAUUUGCAGCAGCCGACUUCUAUGCAAGGCAGGGUCUAAAGUGGAUCCCGCUGAGUUUGGCCCAGUUUGGCUGGUGCUGUUCAGCUCAGGGACAGGAUGGAAGGAUGGAGUUGAGACUCAUAGAGCCAGCACUCCCAGCAUCCCAUUCCUGCAGCGGAUACACAGAUUACCUAUCAGUAGAGCUCCUUCUUAAGCCGGAUUGAUUAAGGCAGAAUUUGCAAUCGUUGAAUGAGAGAUGACACAAUCAUAGAAUGGCUCAGGUUGGAGGGGACGCUAAAGAUCACCCAGUUCCAGCCCGCCGCCGUGGGCAGGGAUGUGGAUGGAGAAGUGCUUUGUACUGUAACAGUUUCAUUUAGAAGCGAGAAGUCCUUCAUGAGGAGGUAGUGGGAGGAGGAGGUUAUUGACAAUGCCACUCCUGUCCGAAGGAAUGUGCUGGAAAGUUGCAGUGGCCUCUAGAUGGCAGCCCCAUUACUCACUCGUCAGAAAACUGAAAAUAAACGCCUUCCCUUUCAAAGCUGGACUUACAGGCAGGCCUAAAGCUUCGGGAGCUCAGACCAAAACCCGCGGGCAGUCAAGAUGACAGUGGGACCCAUCCGGCUUUGUUUUUUCCCCUUCGCCUCGCCCAAAAGGAGGAGCGAGGACUCGCUUCCCUCUGGACUCUGUAUUUGGUAAUGGGCCGGGAGCUGCCGCUGGGAGCUCGUCCUGACGUUCCUGGAGUCGUCUGGAAAGCGAGGCGGAGCCGCGGUGCUGUGCCCAGGGGUGCGCCUCGCCCCGGGUGCCGGCGGCUCUGCUGGGAGCGGGAGGUCCGCGCCGUGCUGCCGUGUGUGACCCGUGGGACGCGGGGCGGGCAGCUUCCACAGCACCAGAGCAGCGCUCUGCCAGAGCUAUUUGUAUAGUAAAUUGCUGUAUUGUUUCAAUUAAAAAAACGCAGCCGGGCAUUUAAUGGCUCCCAUCUGCGGCCACUCUGCGUAAUUCACUUCCCACUUUAAGGUUUUGCCAGCAGAUUUAGUCUGAGCCUCAUCAGCAGGGGACCUGGAUAAGAAACCGUGGUCAGCUGCCUCUCAGCUCCGAGCCAGUCUUCCUCAAAGAGCGACGGUAACUUUGGAUGCCACGACUGCGUGACACGCAGCUGCAACCUUGACCUGGUAGGAUCUCCUACGGUCAGAUCCAGCAGAGAGGAGGUGUGCAGUGGGAGCACAUGGGGCGUGAACACAGAGGUUCCUGCUGAGGCAGAAGAAGGUGGCGUGACCCCGAAAAAGGGAACAGGAGCUGCAACUUCCACCCUUGUGGGCUAAGAGGAACGACCACCCCUGAGGUCCCAUGAAGCUGCAGGCUGCUCCAGACCCACCCUUAUGCGGGAAGGAACACACCCUUGCCUCUGCCUGCAUGUGGCUGCAGGUUCCUCGCUGCAGCCCAGCCCUCCUGAUGAUGUGUGGCCUUCGGGUGGUGCGACACGGCGCUGCUGGGGAGUGGGCUGGCUGUGGUGGGCUUCCUCCUCGCCUUACUGCCACGUGCUGCCCCUACAAGACAACCUCCCGCCAGCUGGAAACCCAGCGCGGCCUCGUGUCCCCAAAAUAAAGAUUUUGUCCUACAGUUUCAUGACUGUAAUUGUUAAGCAGCUCUGUUGUAAGCUUCCCACUAUUUGCCUCAAGCAGCUCAUCCCUGCGGUUCCUCCCAUGCUAAUCUCUGCGAUCUGUGGCAUGCAUACAGCGCUGGCUGGAACGGUCCCUCCCCUCUGCUGCACCGUAUUUGCCAGAACAGGCAUAACUCCAGAUAACCGGAUUUGAAACAAUCAGAGCAGGAAGUGGCAAUAACUGGCCUGGAGGGAAGGCGGGGAGUUGCCCAUAGACAGUUUUUUAGAAGGGUGCCCAAUUUGUGCUAUCUGAUCUCUUUCCACGCUCCUUUAGCCCAGGUACAAAGGCAGGAUGUAAAGCUUGCAGGAGUCAUUUCCAUCCUCUCUCCCUGGCUUCUGACUGAGUUCAGAUCUGUACCGUCUCUUUCUUACAG